UGUGGAGAGAUGGUCGACCAUAAAACGUACGUGUGCUUUAUGACGUAUGUCACAUGGUCCACUAAUUCUCAGCAU
rnacentral:pre_miRNA from 1 species